rfam:Asian citrus Psyllid, Diaphorina citri - Florida Strain, whole genome shotgun sequence.
GCCUAGUUAGCUUAGUUGGUAGCGUGUCUGCUUUGUAAGCGCUAGGUCGCGGGUUCGAUUCUCGCCCUGGGCG